rnacentral:rRNA from 1 species
UACGUAGGGUGCAAGCGUUGUCCGGAAUUAUUGGGCGUAAAGAGCUCGUAGGCGGUCUGUCGCGUCGGCUGUGAAAUCCCGGGGCUCAACCCCGGGCCUGCAGUCGAUACGGGCAGACUAGAGUGCGGUAGGGGAGACUGGAAUUCCUGGUGUAGCGGUGAAAUGCGCAGAUAUCAGGAGGAACACCGGUGGCGAAGGCGGGUCUCUGGGCCGUAACUGACGCUGAGGAGCGAAAGCGUGGGGAGCGAACAGG